GUAACAGCCCGGAAACCGGUACCCUCUUUGUAACGGCCCAAACUGCUCGGCACUAGGAUCCAGAUCGACUUAAGGCCGCCUAGACCCGUAGUAAGCCUAUCCUGAACUCUGUGUAUCUGUUAAAAUCCCAUACAUGAUCCGACUGGACUAUAACUGUUACAACUUGUCUGUAACACAACCAGACUUAACCUGUAAAACACUCUCUGGAGGUCCAAUCAUGUGAACCAAAAGCUCAGACAUACUAGUCUGAACUACCCCUCAGGGGCUAACCAGCGACGCUCUACCAAGUAACCUCCAUGCACUAUGCGCACUGCAGCAUAGAACCCACUCUGUAAGGGUCAGCAUAUCAUAAGUUAACUUGGUUACCAUAGAGUCACAGGAAUCAAACCUGAUCUUCUCUAGUGGUCUACUCUGUGGAUCACAGGAAUCAAACCUGGUCUUUCCUCUGUAGCUACUAUAUGUCACUGGGUUUUCGAAACACAACAUAAAGUAAGUCUGGUCUGACUCAUUUCUCAUCAAGAAACUUUAAAAACAGGAUACAUGCAUAUACCAAGGAUUAAACAUACACUACUAUAGGCAAAAGCACAUUCUAUCUCAUAUACAACUCAACUGACUAUCUAUUACAUCUCUUUACAAAUCUUUCUUUAUAUUUACAUCAUGUCCACACUAUGCUAUUACACAUGCACUACUGCAAUCGACACUCUGCUGCUUCUCACUUCCCAGCUACUCUGUACCUGCAACACUGGGGUUAGGGGAAAGGGAUGAGCUACUAAAGCCCAGUGAGUAGAAACACUGAAAAACAGUUCAUUCAUACGCAUUUACUAUGAAAAUGUAUCACAACUCAAGCAUCUCAAUAUAUCUUGGAUUAGACAUGACCCCAAAACUCCCUCGACGGGCUAUUGAAGUCGCCUUGGUCCAAUCCCCACUAAGGUAGACAUGACCCCAAAAAUACCCUCUGUCAACACUGACCUGACACAAUGACAGGAGCCGAAGCUUAGGCUAUUGGAGUCGCCUGGGUCCACCUAAUCUCUGAUCACAUAAUAUGCAAUGCAACAACUUCGUGAUUCUAAUGCAAAUCACCCUAAUAUAAAUCAUAGCAUCCAUGAUGCAUGAACUAUGCUCAUACAGUCUGUAUCUUUUAAUAAAAAGAUUAAGUUUAGUUCUACUCACCUCUGCUCCUCUGGC
rnacentral:lncRNA from 1 species